AACGUAGGAGACAAACGUUAUCCGGAGUUACUGGGCGUAAAGGGCGUGUAGGUGGUUUCGUAAGUCUGGCGUGAAAUCCCUCGGCUUAACUGAGGACGUGCGGAAGAAACUGCAAGGCUUGAGUCCGGGAGAGGGGGGUGGAAUUCCCAGUGUAGCGGUGAAAUGCGUAGAUAUUGGGAGGAACACCGGUGGCGAAGGCGGCCCCCUGGACCGGUACUGACGCUGAGGCGCGAAAGCGUGGGUAGCAAACGGG
rnacentral:rRNA from 1 species